GGAGACAGGCGCAGCCCCUCGCCCGGCGCAGCCGGAGGUGAGGCGUCCUCCCCUCCCGCGGGCGCUUGGAUGCGUGAGUCACCGUCGCAACCCUUCCUGGCGUGCCCGCCCGGCGACAGAGCUCAAGGGCAAGCUUCUGGCUCAAGAGACUUGGGAUAAAGACUGGACACUGCACACAGAUCUGUUGUUUCCCUGCCCCCUCCUCUCCUAGCUGUGAUUCAGCUCCUACUGGGUUAGAGGUGAGCAGGGAGGAUAGAUGUAGAGAAAAGGACAAACAUCUCUGUUAAACUGGUCUUGGCCACAGCUCUUUUCUUGCUGUUUGUGCUUAGAGACAGACACCAAGAGGCUAGCAUUUGCACGGGGGUAGCAGAGGAGCAGGUACUGGUGAACCAUGAAUAAUCAUAGGGUCUUCAGAAGGCAGGGUCUGGUCUCUUACCAUAUAGGUCCCUAAUACUUGAGAACUGGCUUCUGCCACAGAACUUUUAGAAGUUUCUCUUACAACAGUUCCCACCACUGAGGCUCUCCCCCAUCAACUUUUGGAGCUGGAAUAUCCUUGCUAAGUGGCCUGUCACUCUAGUUGGGACUCUAGCAAAUUGGCUCAUGUAUAGACAAGUUCCACAUUAGACAUGCAAUGCAUGCUGGGCAUACAGUCAUCAGACAGUCACUCAGUCUAGAUGUUGUAAAGGAUAGUUCUAGGAAGCCAUUCUGCUCUCUCCUUUUCCCUGUCUACCCUCCUCGUGGUACUUAGUAUUCCAUGGUAUAAACAUUACGUACGUGUCAAUUCCACUGUUAAUUAAAAUUUCAUAUUCUUUUGGUUUAAGACUUAUAAGAGCAUUGCAGGGACAAAUCAUUUUGUAAAUACUCCCUGAUUCUUAUGAACACAUUUAGAAAGUGUUAUUUUUAUUCUCUUUCUGUGUGUUUCUGUGUGUUUCUGUGUGUGUGUGUGUGUGUGUGUGUGUGUGUGUGUGUGUGUGUGUGCACAUGCAUGCGACUGUGGUUACCUCUGGAGGCCAGAAGAGGGCAUCAGACUCCCUAGAACUGAAAAUACUGGUGCUUAAGAGCCACCCAACAUAAUUGCUGCAAACUGAGCUCUGGUCCUCUACCGAAGCGGUGUGCUCUCCUCACUGCUGGGCCCAAACAGGUUCUUUUUGCUGUUGCUGUUGCUGUUGCUGUUAUUGUUGUUGCUGUUGUUGUUGUUGUCGUCGUCGUCGUCGUUGUCGUCGUCGUCGUUGUCGUCGUCGUCGUUGUCGUCGUCGUCGCCGCGUCGUCGUCGUCGCCGCCGCGUCGUCGUCAUCGUCGUCGUCGUCAUUGCUCAAUCUGAUGAAUCACCAUGUGGUCAUGGACUCCACAGGAAGACCAACACAGUGAACUAACCUGGAUGUUUGGGGGCUCCCAGAGACUGACCUACCGAAGAGCAUACCCAGGCAGGACCUAGGGCUCCUGAACAUGUGUAGCAGAGGAGCAGUUUGAUUUUCAUGCAGGUCCUGCACCAACAAGAAUGGGGGCUAUCCUUGAAUCUGCUGCCUGCCUGUGGAUCCUGUUCCCCUAACUGGGCUGCCUUAUCUGGCCUCAGUUUGGAACGAAUGUGACUAGCCUUGCUGUGACUUGAUGUGCCUGGGAGGGCAGGGAGUGGGGUGGAGUAGGAAGGUGGAGGGGUUGAUAUCUGGACUCAAAGGAGAAGGGAAGAAGGAAUGGGGGGGAGGAUCUUUGUGGGGAAGAGAAGAGGUGAGGGCUUAUAUUGGGAUGUUAAGAGAAUAAAUGAAUAAAUUUAAUAAAAAAAGACUCCCUUAAAGACUAACAAUGCAUAUUUAAUGGGGAAAUAAAUAUUUUCUUCCUAAAAUGGGGAACAAGGUAAGGAAAGUCACUUCUACCAGGCUAGUCUGCUUAAAGUCUCUACUUGGUGUAUUAAAAGGUGAAAAAAAAAACCCAGCUAUAAUGAUUGGGAUAAAAGUAAAAAAAAUAUUUUUUAGGUGAUAUUAUUUUAAUCAGAAAAUUUUUGAGGACUCACUUUCUACCAAACACUACAGUCAAUACGUAUUUAGCAAGAUGUAAGGACAUGAUUUGUAAAUUGUGUCAGUUACUUAUUGGGAGAGAGAUUUAUUUUGAGUCCAGUUCUCUCGGGAUGCAGUUCUCCAUGGUGGGAAGGCACAGAGGCUGUUCAGCUGCUUGCUUAGCGAUGGGUCCUCACACCUGGCAGAGGGGCAAGAAAGGAGGCACCAGGAGUGAAAAAAAUGAUCCUAUCUCCAAGGACCUACACACGCCUGCCAAGUCCCACCUCCUAAAGGGUCUAUAAUUCUUCCCAACUGCCCUAAGUCCCACCUCCUAAAGGGUCUACAGUACUCACCAACUGCCCCAAGUCCCUUCCCCCAAAAGUUGUACAGUUCUUCCCAACUGCCCUAAGUCCCACCUCCUAAAGUGUCUAUAGUACUCCCCAACUCCCCCAAAUCCCUCCCUCCAAAGGGUCUACAGUACUUCCCAACUGCCCUAAGUCCCUCCCCUCAAAGAUUGUACAGUCCUUCCCAACUGCCCCAAGUUCUACCUCCUAAAGGAUAUAUAGUCUUUCCCAACUGUUCCUCUCCCCAAUCUGGAAAGUAAGUGUUCUAAGCAAGAACUCAUGGGAGGAAAUCACAGAUUCAAACUAUAGCACUAAUGAACCCUGUAAUAAAAUUCACCCAUAUGUAAAGGACCUAGAAUCAAUCUUGGAAGGGGAAGAAGAUUUUUGAGAGUCGUAAUAUCUGCUUUAAAUUAUAUGAGAAAAGAUACAAUAACUCAGAUACAGACUUAUACAUAUAUCUCUCUAUAUGUACGUGUAUAUAUACAUAUACAAUAUAUAUGUUUCCAGAAAGGUUUAAUUAAAGAGAAAAGAACUACCCUGGAUAUUAUUAUCAAUGUGGUGGUGCCUUAAACUGAACAGAGAGGAAGAAGUAAAUGAAACACCAACAUUUCCUACACCUAUGUAUGUUUUAAUGGUGAUUCUAAAUCCAGUAAUAUUAAUAAUAAGACCAUCGCAACUCUGCCCUUUAUCAACCUGACACCUGAACACUACUCUUUUUUUCUUUUCAAUAUAUAAGUCUUUUAUUGUCCCCAAAGAGCCCAAAUUGUACUUGUGAUCAGGAUCUUGUUUCUGGAGCUGGGAAACUGAGGUUUCAUUCGUCAGCCUGCUGCACGGUUCUCAGACACAUAGAUGCCAUCCAAAAACUUUCUGAUAUCCUUGUUUUUAACUGUUGUGGCUGAAUCAGAGCCGCUGAAUUUGAAACAAGUUCAAUAUCAUUUCCUUCAAGGAUUAAUUCAUCCUUCUGGGCUUGAGACAGACAAGAACAAGGAACACUGUCCUCAUCUGAACCCUGCCGAUGUAUUUUUCACUCAAGAAAUUUUGGAUUUCAACCAAAGACCCCUCCUGAAUUGAUAGGGAAGUGAGCAUACGCAGACCUCAUCUUGUAACGGAAGCCCAGUGUCACACCCUUCAUCAUGGUCUGAACAGCACUGCAGAUGUUUCUGACAGUGGCCAGUUCUUUCUGUUACCCCACCAUUUGUCAACACGGAGCCUUUUCUUUUUCUUUCCAAGAAGACUCAGCUCUACACUGAUGUGAUUAAAGUCCCUCCUCAGAGUUCCCCUGGGGCCCUUCACAAUGACUGUGUGCCCUUUCAGAGUGACGUCGACCUUUUCUGGAAUGUCGACAGUCUGAUUGCUGAGAAUGGUCUUUGUUCUCGAAGUAGGUAGGGCAAAAGCCUCAACACUACUCUUUAAACCAUAACAUUACAUCUUGUCCCCUAAAGUUUUAUUUUCACCACAUAAGGCAAAAUGCAUUUUGCCCAUCUUUAAGUAUCCCAAACCAUAGUCUUUCACAGUCCCAAUGCUGUUCAAAAGUUUCAAAUUCCAACCUCCUUCUGAGACUCUAGGUAAUUUCUUAAUUGUUAGCCCUACAUUAGUAAAAAAAAAUUACUUCCAAUACAAAUGAUGUAGUGACUAAUGGAAGGAUGGCCAGGAAAGACUGGACCCAAACCAGAACACUACAGCGCAAGAACUAGCACCUGCUGCACUUCAUUCAGCACCUGAGGCUCCUGAUGGAAUCACCUGGGCUCCAACAGCCUUGGGAAGAUCUGUCCCUCCAGAUCUGUCAAGUACAGUCCACGUGGCCUUUCUAUUGCCCUGAUUCUCUUUGUUCCUGCUUUUCUUUCAUUAGCAGAAAUUACAUGAUCCUGGCAUUUUUAGAAUCCUGAUCCCUCCAUUGCAAAUUAGGCAUUACCUUUCUAGAUCAAUGUACUGGUCCUUCAAGGCCUCCUUGAAGGUUGAAUGUAACAUUUUGCCUCACAUUUUUGUCCCAUUAAAAAAUUU